rnacentral:rRNA from 1 species
GUGCCAGCCGCCGCGGUAAUACGUAGGGUGCGAGCGUUAAUCGGAAUUACUGGGCGUAAAGCGUGCGCAGGCGGUGAUGUAAGACAGUUGUGAAAUCCCCGGGCUCAACCUGGGAACUGCAUCUGUGACUGCAUCGCUGGAGUGCGGCAGAGGGGGAUGGAAUUCCGCGUGUAGCAGUGAAAUGCGUAGAUAUGCGGAGGAACACCGAUGGCGAAGGCAAUCCCCUGGGCCUGCACUGACGCUCAUGCACGAAAGCGUGGGGAGCAAACAGGAUUAAAUACCCUGGUAGUCCUUGCCGUAAACUAUGUAUACUUGGUGUAAUCGGACUCAACCCCGAUUGUGCCGGAGCUAACGCGUUAAGUAUACCGCCUGAGGAGUACAGUCGCAAGGCUGAAACUCAAAAGAAUUGACGGGGGCCCGCACAAGCGGUGGAGCAUGUGGUUUAAUUCGAAGCAACGCGCAGAACCUUACCACCUUUUGACAUGUCCUGAUCGCUGAAGAGAUCCAUUUCUCCCUUCGGGGACAGGAACACAGGUGCUGCAUGGCUGUCGUCAGCUCGUGUCGUGAGAUGUUGGGUUAAGUCCCGCAACGAGCGCAACCCUCGCCAUUAGUUGCCAGCAUUUAGUUGGGCACUCUAGUGGGACUGCCGGAGCUAAUCCGGAGGAGGGCGGGGAUGACGUCUCGUCCUCAUGGCCCUUACGGGGGUGGGCUACACACGUGCUACAUGGACGACUAACAGAGGGUUGCAACCCAGCGAUGAUGAGCUACUCCCUAAAGUCGUCUCAAGUUCGGAUUGCACUCUGCACUCGAGUGCAUGAAGUCGAUCGCUAGUAUCGCGGAUCAGCUGGCGCGAGAUGAAUACGUCCCGGUACUAGCACAACGGUCGGUCAAGGACGAUCGAUCAGCGGAGACUUCCUUUAUUAGAGGAGUUAUAUCUCAGACCUUGAGCGCA